rnacentral:rRNA from 1 species
UGGCUCAGGAUGAACGCUAGCGACAGGCCUAACACAUGCAAGUCGAGGGGCAUCGGGGCGAGGAGCAAUCCUUGCCGCCGGCGACCGGCGCACGGGUGAGUAACGCGUAUGCGACCUGCCCGUUGCAGGGGGAUAACCGGGAGAAAUCCCGUCUAAUACCGCGUAAUGCCGCGGGGCUGCAUGGCCCUGCGGCCAAAGGGAGCGAUUCCGGCAACGGAUGGGCAUGCGUGACAUUAGCUAGUUGGCGGGGCAACGGCCCACCAAGGCGACGAUGUCUAGGGGUUCUGAGAGGAAGGUCCCCCACACUGGUACUGAGACACGGACCAGACUCCUACGGGAGGCAGCAGUGAGGAAUAUUGGUCAAUGGGCGCGAGCCUGAACCAGCCAAGUCGCGUGAGGGAUGACGGCCCUACGGGUUGUAAACCUCUUUUGUCGGGGAGCAAAUUCCGCCACGUGUGGCGGAGUCGAGAGUACCCGAAGAAAAAGCAUCGGCUAACUCCGUGCCAGCAGCCGCGGUAAUACGGAGGAUGCGAGCGUUAUCCGGAUUUAUUGGGUUUAAAGGGUGCGUAGGCGGACUGUCAAGUCAGCGGUAAAAUACGGGGGCUCAACCUCCGCCCGCCGUUGAAACUGACGGUCUUGAGUGGGCGAGAAGUAUGCGGAAUGCGUGGUGUAGCGGUGAAAUGCAUAGAUAUCACGCAGAACUCCGAUUGCGAAGGCAGCAUACCGGCGCCCGACUGACGCUGAAGCACGAAAGCGUGGGUAUCGAACAGGAUUAGAUACCCUGGUAGUCCACGCAGUAAACGAUGAAUACUAGCUGUCCGGGGCGAAUGAGCCCUGGGUGGCACAGCGAAAGCGUUAAGUAUUCCACCUGGGGAGUACGCCGGCAACGGUGAAACUCAAAGGAAUUGACGGGGGCCCGCACAAGCGGAGGAACAUGUGGUUUAAUUCGAUGAUACGCGAGGAACCUUACCCGGGCUCAAACGACACAGGAACGUACCUGAAAGGGUUCGGCUCUACGGAGCCUGUGUCGAGGUGCUGCAUGGUUGUCGUCAGCUCGUGCCGUGAGGUGUCGGCUUAAGUGCCAUAACGAGCGCAACCCCCAUCGACAGUUGCUAACAGGUCAGGCUGAGGACUCUGUCGAGACUGCCGGCGCAAGCUGCGAGGAAGGCGGGGAUGACGUCAAAUCAGCACGGCCCUUACGUCCGGGGCGACACACGUGUUACAAUGGCAGGUACAGCGGGAAGCCACCUGGCGACAGGGAGCGGAACCCGAAAGCCUGUCUCAGUUCGGAUUGGAGUCUGCAACCCGACUCCAUGAAGCUGGAUUCGCUAGUAAUCGCGCAUCAGCCACGGCGCGGUGAAUACGUUCCCGGGCCUUGUACACACCGCCCGUCAAGCCAUGGAAGCCGGGGGUGCCUGAAGUGCGCUGCCGCGAGGAGCGCCCUAGGGUAAAACCGGUGACUGGGGCUAAGUCGUAACAAGGUA